AGAGUUUGAUCCUGGCUCAGAACGAACGCUGGCGGCGCGUCUUAAGCAUGCAAGUCGAGCGGGAUCUUGGGGCUUGCCCCAAGUGAGAGCGGCGGACUGGUGAGUAACGCGUGGGUGAUGAACCUUUUGGUUGGGGAUAGCUCUUGGAAACAGGAGGUAAUACCGAAUAAGCUUUACGAGGUUAGAGUGCGUAAAGGAAAGUGGCGUUUGCCACGCCAAUAGAUCGGCCCGCGUCCCAUCAGCUAGUUGGUGAGGUAAUGGCUUACCAAGGCUAUGACGGGUAUCCGACCUGAGAGGGUAAUCGGACACAUUGGGACUGAGAUACGGCCCAAACUCCUACGGGAGGCAGCAGCUAAGGAUAUUCCGCAAUGGACGAAAGUCUGACGGAGCGACGCCGCGUGAAUGAUGAAGGCCGAAAGGUUGUAAAGUUCUUUUCUUCAUGAUGAAUAAGACUGGGAGGAAAUGCCCGGUUGAUGACCGUAGUGAAGGAAUAAGGGGCGGCUAAUUACGUGCCAGCAGCCGCGGUAAUACGUAAGCCCCUAGCGUUGUUCGGAAUUAUUGGGCGUAAAGGGCGCGUAGGUGGUUUUGCAAGUCUGGCGUGAAAGAUAGAAGCCUAACUUCUUAUAGUGCGUUGGAAACUGUAGAACUUUGAAUCACUGAGGGGAGAUUAGAAUUCCAAGUGUAGGGGUGAAAUCUGUAGAUAUUUGGAAGAAUACCGAUAGCGAAGGCAGAUCUCCAGUAGAUGAUUGACACUGAGGCGCGAAGGUGCGGGGAGCAAACGGGAUUAGAUACCCCGGUAGUCCGCACAGUAAACUAUGCACACUAUAUAUUCGGUGUAAAAGCUGAGUGUAAAAGCUAACGCGUUAAGUGUGCCGCCUGGGGAGUAUGCCCGCAAGGGUGAAACUCAAAGGAAUUGACGGGGGCCCGCACAAGCGGUGGAGCAUGUGGUUUAAUUCGAUGGUACGCGAGGAACCUUACCCGGUCUUGACAUGCAUACUGAUAUUGUAGAGAUACAGUAGCGUAGUAAUACGAGUAUGUGCAGGUGCUACAUGGCUGUCGUCAGCUCGUGCCGUGAGGUGUUGGGUUAAGUCCCGCAACGAGCGCAACCCCUGCUGUCAGUUACUAACGGGUAAUGCCGAGGACCCUGACGGGACUGCCGGUGACAAGCCGGAGGAAGGCGGGGAUGACGUCAAGUCAUCAUGGCCCUUAUGACCGGGGCAACACACGUGCUACAAUGGUAGAUACAGAGCGAAGCUAAAUCGCAAGGUCAAGCAAAUCGCUAAAGUCUAUCGUAGUUCGGAUCGGAGUCUGAAACUCGACUCCGUGAAGCUGGAAUCGCUAGUAAUCGCAUAUCAGCACGAUGCGGUGAAUACGUUCCCGGGCCUUGUACACACCGCCCGUCACACCAUCCGAGUGGGGGACGCCCGAAGUCGCUAGACUAACCGUAAGGAAGUCGGUGCCGAAGGUGUGUUUCAUGAGGGGGGUGAAGUCGUAACAAGG
rnacentral:rRNA from 1 species